rnacentral:rRNA from 1 species
GAUGAACGCUGGCGGCGUGCUUAACACAUGCAAGUCGAACGGAAAGGCCCAAGCUUGCUUGGGUCCUCGAGUGGCGAACGGGUGAGUAACACGUGGGUGAUCUGCCCUGCACUUCGGGAUAAGCCUGGGAAACUGGGUCUAAUACCGGAUAGGACCACAUUUUGGAUGGUGUGGUGGAAAGUUUUUCGGUGUGGGAUGAGCUCGCGGCCUAUCAGCUUGUUGGUGGGGUAAUGGCCUACCAAGGCGUCGACGGGUAGCCGGCCUGAGAGGGUGUACGGCCACAUUGGGACUGGGAUACGGCCCAGACUCCUACGGGAGGCAGCAGUGGGGAAUAUUGCACAAUGGGCGCAAGCCUGAUGCAGCGACGCCGCGUGGGGGAUGACGGCCUUCGGGUUGUAAACUCCUUUCGCUAGGGACGAAGCGCAAGUGACGGUACCUGGAGAAGAAGCACCGGCUAACUACGUG